rnacentral:tRNA from 1 species
UCGGGGUGUAGCGCAGUCCGGUUAGCGCACCUGCUUUGGGAGCAGGGGGUCGUGGGUUCGAAUCCCGCUACCCCGACGGA